rnacentral:tRNA from 1 species
GGACGCUUGGCCGAGUGGCUUAAGGCAGCAGUCUUGAAAACUGUCGAAGGUUCCGCCUUCCGGGAGUUCGAAUCUCCCAGCGUCCG